AAGUCGUAACAAGGUUUCCGUAGGUGAACCUGCGGAAGGAUCAUUAACACGUGAAAACGUAUUAAUUUACCUUACACUUCAACCCCCUGCGAAUUCCCUCCCUAUUCAUUUGACACUGUUUUGAUACAAUAUGUAGUAGGAUAUGAUAGUGCAAGCUAUUAUAUGCAAUUGUAUCAUUACUGAGGCUUCGAGCCUAAAAGUGUUUUUUGUUAGGCUUUUUUUUCUAUUUUUCCCCUACUACAAAAAUACCAUACUAACCAAUUUCACCUUUAAUAACCUAUUUUGACUGAUGUACGUUGAUAGUACAGAAAUGUACUGGAUCAACACCAUUUAUCUAAACUAAGCACAACUCUUAGCAAUGGAUAUCUUGGUUCUC
rnacentral:misc_RNA from 1 species